GAACAGGGAUUCCCAAUGGGAUUUGGAACGGGGAUUGGGAACCGGGAAUGGGAACAGGGAAUGGGAACAGGGAAUGGGAACAGGAUUCCCAAUGGGACUGAGACUGGGAAUGGGGAAUGGGAAUGGGGAUUGGGAACGGGGAUUCCCAGUGGGAACGGGAUUCCCGGUGGGAUUGGAAACAGGAAUGGGAACGGAGAUUCCCAAUGGGACUGGGAACGGGGAUUCCCAAUGGGAAUGGGAUUGGGAACAGGAUUCCCAACGGGAAUCAGAUUGGGAAUGGGGAUUCCCAAUGGGACUGGGAUUGGGGAAUGGGAACAUGAUUCCCAAUUGGAAUGGGAACGGGAAUUACCAGUGGGAAUGGGAUUAGGAACAAGGAUUCCCAAUGGGAAUGGAGUUGGGAAUGGGAAAGGGGAUUCCCAAUGGACUGGGAACAGGAAUGGGAACAAGGAUUCCCAAUGGGAAUGGGGAUUGGGACUGGGACAGGGAAUGGGAAUUCCCAGUGGGAUUGGAAUUGGGAACGGGAAUGGGAACAAGGAUUCCCAAUGGGAAUGGGGAUUGGGGAUUCCCAAUGGGAAUGGGGAUGGGGAAUUCCCACUGGGAAUGGGGCAUUGGGGAUUGGGGUGUCCCUUUGGGAUCGGGUCCCCCUGUCCCGGUACCUUCGUUGUGCUGUGCCCGGCGCUUCUCGUCCCGCGUGGCUCGGGGAGCCUCCGACUUCCUGGGGAGGGGCACAGGUGGGCACAGGUGUGGCCCAGGUGUGCCCAGUUGUGUCUGGGUAUAACCCAGGUGUGGCCCAGGUGUGCCCAGUUGUGUCUGGGUAUAACCCAGGUGUGCCCCAGGUGUGUCCAGCUGUGCCCCAGGUGUACCAAGGUGUGCCCCAGGUGUACCUGGGUGUGCCCCAGCCGUGUUUGGGCGUGUCCCAGGUGUAUCCUGGGUGUGUUCAGGUGUCCCCAUGCAUGCCCAGGUGUGCUCCAACAGGUCCAGAUGUGUUUUAAGUAUGUCCCAGGUGUGCCCCAGGUGUGUUUGGGUGUGACCCAGGUGUGUCAAGGUGUCUCCAUCUAUGUCCCAGAUGUACCCCAGCACAUCCAGGUGUGUUUGGGUGUGUCCCAGUGU
rnacentral:lncRNA from 1 species